CUUGAAUGAGCAAGAAUUUAUGGAAUAGGAUGUUGAAUUCUUCGAGCAUGUGCUGAGGAGUGGUAUAACUCAACCAUAGUGUAAAUGCAUAUUUAAUAUUUUGAGUUUUUCCCCAAACUGAUUUCCAGAAAGGCUGGACCAGUUUUUGGGGAUCCCUUCAAGUGUCAUGAAUGACAAGGAAAUGAUCUCCCUUCAGAGGAUCAGGAAACAUUCCUUGACAGAGUUACAACUGGCUCCAGCUACGUUCCCAGCACCAAGAUGGCUGCCUCCAGACCAUUGGGAAUUCUAACUCAAGAAGAUCUGAGGUCCAUUUCUGGUUUCUGUUGAUGUUUUCACAAAGAAUCAAAAAUGUUGAUUCGCAAAACAUAAAAAGGACAAUUAAAUUAUUGGGGAUGCAUACAUUCAUGACAUGGCACAUGUAAAGUUUUGAGAACAACAUGCAGAAUUUCUUGGUUCCUUCUUUUAGCGUGAAAGUUCUUGGAACCAAGAUCAAGGCCUUAGGCUUAGGGGCAACUACAUGGUCAGCUGAGUCAUCUUGCUGGUCCCUAGUUUUAUACUUUUGGUGGAUUUUUUAAAUGUAUUUUAAUUUUCAUUGUAAUAAACCAUCAAUCUGCUAUGAAAA
rnacentral:lncRNA from 1 species